rnacentral:rRNA from 1 species
CCUACGGGUGGCUGCAGUGGGGAAUAUUGGACAAUGGGCGAAAGCCUGAUCCAGCCAUGCCGCGUGUGUGAAGAAGGCCUUCGGGUUGUAAAGCACUUUCAGUGGGGAAGAAAGCCUUGGGGCUAAUACCCUCGAGGAAGGACAUCACCCACAGAAGAAGCACCGGCUAACUCCGUGCCAGCAGCCGCGGUAAUACGGGGGGUGCGAGCGUUAAUCGGAAUUACUGGGCGUAAAGCGCGCGUAGGCGGUCUGAUAAGCCGGUUGUGAAAGCCCCGGGCUCAACCUGGGAACGGCAUCCGGAACUGUCAGGCUAGAGUGCAGGAGAGGAAGGUAGAAUUCCCGGUGUAGCGGUGAAAUGCGUAGAGAUCGGGAGGAAUACCAGUGGCGAAGGCGGCCUUCUGGACUGACACUGACGCUGAGGUGCGAAAGCGUGGGUAGCAAACAGGAUUAGAUACCCUUGUAUC